AAAAACGAAGAAGUCUCGAGGUGAGAAGAAGCGAGUUCACUCGUUACACCGUCACGAUCCGUGAUUGCGAACGAGCGCGAGGGUAUCGAAUCGAAUUUAAUCGAACCGAAUAAAUUCGCCCCGUUUAUUUGCACGGAGCUCGCGUAAAAUGACCCCAUCGACGAAAAUAACGUUCGAACAGCCUUGAUCGGCACGUACAAAAGGUAGCAGGCUAACACGACUAUUUUCGUCGACCUUUUCACGUGCGUACACGCGUUCCAGCACGGUACGAUUGCAGCACGGUGUAUAUCGCGGCGACGUGCGUGAGCACAGGUGCACGAAGAAAGGAGCGGCACCAGAGGCGAAGGAAACGAGAGGACGCUGGCUAGAAGAAGAAGGGAAGAAAAGAAGAAAGCGCACUUGCGGUUGGACGAAGAGUAAUGAGUGGGUCGACCAUGGAAAUGGAUAAGUAGCAAGCUAACGUCUCGCUUCAGGAACGAUUUACGAGAGAACGAUUUUAUCGUGGAGAAAUCGCUGACAAUGUCUUUACAAAUCGUUUCAAGAAGGAACGACGGACGUGACAAGUGGAUAAAUAGCAGUUUGACGUCGAUUUCAAUAAUAUGGAACGACAGAUGCUUUUAACGAAGUAUAUAAAUAUUUGGUAUAAAGUAAAGUAAAAAUUGGAAAAACCAUAAACGUUGAUUUAAAAAGUAAUUUUUUAAGGAGCUAUAGGUGAAAAAAUAAAGAGCAGAGUUUCUGAUCGAAUGCCGUUUACGCUGGUCGGAAAUGAAAAAGAAAUAUUUUUACAGCACGCAACGAACACGAUGAUAUUAAAAGAAAGUAGCUAAAUUAUAAUUCAUAUUCACGAAAGCUGUAUUUCGCUAAAAUAAUGUUGAAUUUAUAUUCACGAAAGCAACACUUUGCUAACAAGCGUAAAUAAACAAAUUUUGUAUGGUAAAUUCACGCAUCAUGGAGGUAUACAAAUGUGCGCAAGGUAAAAGAGCCUAUUUACGGUGAAUAUAACGAGUGAAGUUUUGAAAAAAAAAAAAAAAAAAAGAUGAUUAGACGCUGCAAAUAUAUCAUAUUAAUUUCAAACAGAUAAACUUAAAACCUCGUUUUUUUUCCCCACCCCAAAGAAAAAGAUCUAUCGAGAAACGAUUAGACGUUAUCGUCGAGUAGUACGAUCGAUAUCAGUAAGACGAGCACCGUGACAAAAUACGAUUUUCCUUCAAGAAGCCAAACGUUGAACGUCUCGCGAGUAUCUUUAAGAAAGUGUCACUCGUUGCGAGACAUCGAAAUUAAGCGAUUACUCGUACUAAGGAGAAAAGUGAUUCGUCUAUGUAAUCGCGUAUUUGUUCAGUGCGUCGUUGUAUCCGAUAUUCGUUAAUCGCCGAAAUAGAGAUAGAAAUUUCCCUUUCGAUGUUUUCCUCGUUGCCGCGUUAAAGGCAUCGUCGAGUCGCGAAAGGGAACAGCGGUAAAGACGAAAGUAAUCGAUCCGGAGUCGAUGCGGAGAGCUCCGUCGUGCAAAUCGAUGUCAACGGGAAAAUUAAAAUCAGCUUUCGUCGUAGUGAUUUCUAUCCUUACCUCAAAAUAUUUUAUUCCGCUUUUACGAAAUUUUUCAUUUCAAGUACGAGACGCGUUUUAAACUUUUACCAGCAGUUCGUCGAUUCGAUCGAUCAUCGAUCGAUCACCUUGGUGUUGCGCGAAACUGUGACAGCAUUAAAAGACGGUGCUCUGCUCGGGAUUUCUGUCUCUAUUCUUUCGCACGUGCAUUUUCCGAUACGCCAUAUGGUCACAGAUAAAAACCACAUGCCAGUAUAUUCCCAUGAACAUCGAGCCGACAGGUACAAAACCUAACAUGUGCUGCGAUGCGCACUGAGCUUUAAUAUUCGUUCGAUUUCGGCAGUAUCUCUUACUAACUAUAUCAUAGAUUUAUAUUGGUAGAUUUAUUGGAAUGAAUUAAUUUUAUUAAAUAUCUCUUCCUAUUCUUCUAAACAGCAAGUGGUUGUAUUCAAAAUAUUUUCCACGUCCAAUCUCGUAAUAAAUAUUUUCAUUCCGUUUUUUAAAUUCAUCUUUGGCUAGAAAAUAUAUUAUAUGACACGUAGGAAGCACCGUGGCAUCGACGUUCGUACGUUCAGGAAGCGAAUACGAGAACAGAUGUUAGAAAUCUAGUUUCUCAAAGUGAUUUCCUCCAAAAAACAAAAACAGUUUUAAGAACGUGACAUGUGCGUCAGAUUCUAUGCUUACGAGGGAUGAAACUGUACAGUUCAGUUACGGCUAAUGAUAAAGCUUACGCCAACUAGGUUUCACAGCAGGUUUUAUACUAAAUCUCGCAUUAGGUUACACGUUAAUUGCCAUUAGAUCCUCCAUCGAAUGUGAUAAAAAAACGUAAAAGACG